UACGUAGGGUGCAAGCGUUGUCCGGAUUUAUUGGGCGUAAAGAGCUCGUAGGCGGUUUAGCAAGUUGGGUGUGAAAACUCCAGGCUCAACCUGGAGAUGCCACCCAAGACUGCUAUGACUGAGUCGUGGUAGGGAGCACGGAAUUCCUGGUGUAGCGGUGAAAUGCGCAGAUAUCAGGAGGAACACCGGUGGCGAAGGCGGUGCUCGUGGGCCAAUGACUGACGCUGAGGAGCGAAAGCGGU
rnacentral:rRNA from 1 species